GACGAACGCUGGCGGCGUGCUUAACACAUGCAAGUCGAGCGGUAAGGCCCUUUCGGGGGUACACGAGCGGCGAACGGGUGAGUAACACGUGGGUGACCUGCCCUUAGCUCUGGGAUAAGCCUGGGAAACUGGGUCUAAUACCGGAUAUGACUCCAUGACGCAUGUUGUGGGGUGGAAAGCCUUGUGCGGCUAGGGAUGGGCCUGCGGCCUAUCAGCUUGUUGGUGGGGUGAUGGCCUACCAAGGCGACGACGGGUAGCCCGCCUGAGAGGGCGACCGGCCACACUGGGACUGAGACACGGCCCAGACUCCUACGGGAGGCAGCAGUGGGGAAUCUUGCGCAAUGGGCGAAAGCCUGACGCAGCGACGCCGCGUGGGGAUGACGGCCUC
rnacentral:rRNA from 1 species